GGAAACCCUGAUGCAGCAACGCCGCGUGGAUGAUGAAGGCCUUCGGGUCGUAAAAUCCUUUUCAACGGGAAGAUACGGACGGUACCGUUGGAAUAAGCUUCGGCUAACUACGUGCCAGCAGCCGCGGUAAUACGUAGGAAGCGAGCGUUAUCCGGAUUUACUGGGCGUAAAGAGCGCGUAGGUGGUCUUAUAAGUUGGGCGUGAAAGCCCCCGGCUUAACUGGGGAGGGUCGCUCAAUACUGUAGGACUUGAGGGUGGAAGAGGAGACUGGAAUUCCCGGUGUAGUGGUGAAAUGCGUAGAUAUCGGGAGGAACACCUGUGGCGAAGGCGAGUCUCUAGGCCACUCCUGACACUGAGGCGCGAAAGCGUGGGGAGCGAACGGAAUUAGAUACUCCGGUAGUCCACGCCCUAAACGAUGGACACUAGGUGUGGUGGGUAUCGACCCCUGCCGUGUCGUAGUCAACACAAUAAGUGUCCCGCCUGGGGACUA
rnacentral:rRNA from 1 species